rnacentral:rRNA from 1 species
AAUCUUGCACAAUGGGCGAAAGCCUGAUGCAGCAACGCCGCGUGCGGGAUGAAGGCCCUAGGGUUGUAAACCGCUUUCAGUAGGGAAGAAAAUGACGGUACCUACAGAAGAAGGUGCGGCCAACUACGUGCCAGCAGCCGCGGUGACACGUAGGCACCAAGCGUUAUCCGGAUUUAUUGGGCGUAAAGAGCUCGUAGGCGGUUCGGUAAGUCGGGUGUAAAAACUCUGGGCUCAACCCAGAGAGGCCAUCCGAUACUGCUGUGACUAGAGUGCGGUAGGGGAGCGGGGAAUUCAUGGUGUAGCGGUGAAAUGCGCAGAUAUCAUGAGGAACACCAGCGGCGAAGGCGCCGCUCUGGGCCGUAACUGACGCUGAGGAGCGAAAGCAUGGGUAGCAA